rnacentral:rRNA from 1 species
GACGAACGCUGGCGGCGUGCUUAACACAUGCAAGUCGAACGGUGAAGCGCCUUCCUUUUUGGUGGGUGGGGUUGAGUGGCGAACGGGUGCGUAACACGUGAGUAACCUGCCCCCUUCUUCUGGAUAACCGCAUGAAAGUGUGGCUAAUACGGGAUAUUCUGGUUCUGUCGCAUGGUGGGUCUGUGUAAGAUGUUGUUUCGGGGGGGGAUGGGCUCGCGGCCUAUCAGCUUGUUGGGGGGGUGAUGGGCUAGCAAGGGUGGGACGGGUCGCCGGCCUGGGAGGGUGGCCGGUCACACUGGGACUGAGGCCCCGCCCAGACUCCUACGAGAGGCAGCAGUGGGGAGUAUGGCACAAUGGGCGAAAGUCUGAUGCAGCGACGCCGCGUGAGGGAUGGCGGCCUUCGGGUUGUGAACCUCUUUCGCCAGUGAAGCAGGCCUGCCUCGUUUGUGGGUGGGUUGACGGUAGCUGGAUAAGAAGCGCCGGCUAACUACGUG